AAUUUAACUAACAUUCCUUUUCCUUGCAGGAUUAACAUUUAUAUGCUUUUGAAACCUAAGUGUCCUCAAACCUUGGGCCUAAGUCAGUGUGUGUCUGAAUCAUAUCUGAAUAUAACAAAAGGGGAAAUGAAACUUAGGGACAGCUGGACAACUAUCUAAAUAUAAUAGCCCCAUGAUAUUGAGUAACCAAGGAACUAAUAAACACAUGAUUUGGGCAGAUCUUGCUUUAUCUAGUAACAGAAGGGUUUGACAUAUGAAGAACCAAUCAUGUUGUAGGAUGUUUUGCCAUGCUCCUAUCCUAUAUAAACUCUUGCUGGUGGGAUUCUCUGUGAUUGAUACGAGGUCCUCCGGCCGUGAUUAAAGCUUACCCUAAGGCAUAGUCUGGAGUCUGUUUGGUUUUUGCUGCGCAGUGGACUUGACGCUAGAGAAUCUGACUUCCACACUCAAGUGAUAGUGUUUAGUGGAGCACGAAAGACCUUAUUAAGGUACGCUUAGUCGAGUAUAAAUUCAUAGGUGUCUGGGACACCCGGUUUAACUUUAGUCAGGUGCGUAGAGGAAAAUCUACCACACUGUCAAAUGAAGGAAGGCUGUUGGAUUUUCCAAUGCUGACAAUAAGGAAGGCUCUUCCGUGCUGAUGGCCUGCACCCCAGCAAAAUCGGAGCUGAUCUUCUGUCGGAAAACAUCACCAAGACGCUUCGCACCGUAUGACUAGUGACUAGAGAGUACAUCAGUUUCAGUUUGGAUCCAGCCUCUUAAGAAGACCUCAGAUGACUAAAACUUUGGAAGAGACGGCGCCAACUCCUGCGAUGACUUCAGAAGAUGCAACAUCUGGAUCAACACGCACAUUCACAUUCUAUAAAUCCUAAUUAUUGUUAAUAUGUAAUUCAUUUUUCCAGGAGCUCUUUGCUUCUACCUCCAAUUACAUUGCUAACAGUGAUUGUGUGUUAAUCGCCUAAAUUAUUACAUUAUUAGCUAACUGCAGUCUCCAAAUUGUAAUGUUGAUAUGCUUUCUCUGUAAAGCUGCUUUGAAACAAUAUGUAUCGUGAAAAGCGCUAUACAAAUAAAUGUGAAUUGAAUUGAAAA